GCGGGGGCUGGGCUUUCAGCCUCAGUGCCGUCCAGGGGGAAUGCCCAGAUGGUUCCCCCGUAUCCCACUCCUCUCUCUCUCCCCUGGCACACGUGGCGGGGGGUGGUUACUUCUCCCCAUCCUCUCAAAGCUGGGCAGGGUGCUAGCUAGCAUUAGUUCUGGCCAGUGGGUUGUGGGCAGGAGUGCUCUGUGUCACUUUCAGGCUUGAGCACUUGUCCGCUGGACCCCCCAGCUGUGCUCCUCACCGCAAUCACAGAAAUCUGGUCUAGACGAGUUUCCUCAGAUGGGUUUCUGAAUAACCUCAGUGAAAGAAACCUCCAGCCAGCUAGCUUUGGGCAUGGAGAUGCAAGAAAUGAAUCGUUAUAGUAUUAAGCCCCUGAGGGUGUGGGGGUUGUUUGUUACAACAGCACCAUCCGGCCUAACCUACUGAUAAGAGGCUCCAUCAACCAAGUUGCUCAACGUUGGGAUCCAGGGACCUAUGGCCUCAGAAUCACAUGGAGCAGCUCUGUUAAAAAAUGCAGGUUCUCAGGCUCUGCCCCAGAUACCCGGAGUCAGAAAGCCCAGGGAUGAGGCCCCCAGAUUACAGUGACUUCAUCUCCAAGGGCAGCAAGUGUACAUCCCACGCCUGGGGAGUGUUAGGGAAGCCCUCUGCUCCUGCUGGGGGCUUCGCUGGCUCAGAUGGUAAAGAGUCUGCCCGCAAUGCAGGAGACUCAGGUUCAAUCCCUGGAUCAGGAAGAUCCCCGGAAGGAAGGCAUAGCAACCCACUCCAGUAUUCUGGCCUGGAGAAUCCCCAUGGACAGAGGAGCCUGGCUGGCUACAGUCCAUGGGGUUGCAGAGUCGGACACAACUGAGCAACUAACCCCUCUGUUCCCACCACCUCAUUUGCUUCCUCUGGGUCUGAAGCAGGUGUGCUCUCUGGUCGGGGCUGGGUUCUCCAGGUACUACCAGGCUCAAGGCCUGAGAGGUCCCUGCCCUGGGCUUCCUGCCGCCUCUCUCCUCCCACCUGGCAGCGAAGCAACUCCCCUGGGCCAGGCGCUGGGGGAAGGGCUCACAGAGGGAGAGCGAUAGAAACCCUCCGUGAUGGAUUGAAGGAGACGAGACCAUUCCCGGCUGGCGGAGGAGUUGCGGCUGCAGUGACAGGUGGCGAUGUUUGUGCUCUGAACCUGCAAUCUCAGCUAAUGGGAGAGAUUGAGGAGUUUGGAAUGAGACACGGCGUGGGCCACAGCCCCACGGGCCAAGAUGCUGCUGGCAUAGGCCGCGUGGCUUCGUGGGGUUCCUGAAGGAGGGAGUGGGUGCCACAUUCCUGGGCAGGGGAGAGAAUGUCUUUGGCUGCCUAUGAGUGUCAGGAGGACCAAGCUGGAGCAGCAGCAACCACUGAAAAUCCAGCUUCUUGAACCUCUUGCGACCACUGUAAAGAAUGUAGUAUGAGCCAGCGCUGAAGAUGUGAACUACCUCAGGAAAAGGAAGAGAAUCUACUGUCUUUGUGCCUCUUUGAAGGCCAUGAUAUCUGGAGCUUCAGCUGCUGCUGGAGGAGUAUUUUAUCACUGCUGCUGCUGCUAAGUCACUUCAGUCGUGUCUGACUCUGUGCGAUCCCACAGACAGCAGCCCACCAGGCUCCCCCAUCCCUGGGAUUCUCCAGGCAAGAACACUGGAGUGGGUUGCCAUUUCCUUCUCCAAUGCAUGAAAGUGAAAACGUGAAAGUGAAGUCACUCAGUCGUGUCCGACUCUUAGCGACCCCACAGACUGCAGCCUACCAGGCUCCUCCGCCCAUGGGAUUUUCCAGGCAAGAGUAUUGGAGUGGGUUGCCAUUGCCUUCUCUGAUUUUAUCACUGGUAUAGUUUAAAAUCACUAGAGCAUGUUAAUAAUAAAAAGCAGGCUGACUU
ensembl:lncRNA